rnacentral:rRNA from 1 species
UACGGAGGGUGCGAGCGUUUGUCCGGAAUCACUGGGCGUAAAGGGCGCGUAGGCGGUCUGCUAAGCGUGCGGUGAAAGCCUGGGGCUCAACCCCAGGUCUGCCGUGCGAACUGGUGGACUAGAGCACUGUAGAGGCAGGUGGAAUUCCGGGUGUAGCGGUGGAAUGCGUAGAGAUCCGGAAGAACACCGGUGGCGAAGGCGGCCUGCUGGGCAGUUGCUGACGC